UACAGAGGGUGCAAGCGUUAGUCGGAAUUACUGGGCGUAAAGGGUGUGUAGGUGGUUAUGUAAGUUAGGUGUGAAAUCCCCGGGCUUAACCUGGGAAUGGCGCCUAAUACUGUGUAGCUAGAGUACUGUAGAGGAAAGUGGAAUUUCCGGUGUAGCGGUGAAAUGCGUAGAUAUCGGAAGGAACACCAGUGGCGAAAGCGACUUUCUGGACAGAUACUGACACUGAGGCACGAAAGCAUGGGGAGCAAACAGG
rnacentral:rRNA from 1 species